AAACGACUCUCGGCAACGGAUAUCUCGGCUCUCGCAUCGAUGAAGAACGUAGCGAAAUGCGAUACUUGGUGUGAAUUGCAGAAUCCCGUGAACCAUCGAGUCUUUGAACGCAAGUUGCGCCCGAAGCCACUAGGCUGAGGGCACGUCUGCCUGGGUGUCACGC
rnacentral:rRNA from 1 species